rnacentral:rRNA from 1 species
CCCUUAGAUGUCCUGGGCCGCACGCGUGCUACACUGAUGCAUACAGCGAGUACUUUCCAGCUCCGCGAGGCAGCUGGUAAUCAGCAAUAUGCAUCGUGCUGGGGAUAGAUCUUUGGAAUUAUAGAUCUUGAACGAGGAAUUCCUAGUAAGCGCAAGUCAUUAGCUUGCGCUGGUUAAGUCCCUGCCCUUUGUACACACCGCCCGUCGCUCCUACCGAUUUCGAGUGAUUCGGUGAACCUUUUGGACCGCGUCUGUCCUCGUGUCAGAUGCUGAAAGUCAAGUAAACCAUAUCACUUAGAGGAAGGAGAAGUCGUAACA